AUUGAACGCUGGCGGCAGGCCUAACACAUGCAAGUCGAGCGGAUGAGUGGAGCUUGCUCCAUGAUUCAGCGGCGGACGGGUGAGUAAUGCCUAGGAAUCUGCCUAUUAGUGGGGGACAACGUUUCGAAAGGAACGCUAAUACCGCAUACGUCCUACGGGAGAAAGCAGGGGACCUUCGGGCCUUGCGCUAAUAGAUGAGCCUAGGUCGGAUUAGCUAGUUGGUGAGGUAAUGGCUCACCAAGGCGACGAUCCGUAACUGGUCUGAGAGGAUGAUCCGUCACACUGGAACUGAGACACGGUCCAGACUCCUACGGGAGGCAGCAGUGGGGAAUAUUGGACAAUGGGCGAAAGCCUGAUCCAGCCAUGCCGCGUGUGUGAAGAAGGUCUUCGGAUUGUAAAGCACUUUAAGUUGGGAGGAAGGGUUGUACGUUAAUACCGUGCAAUUUUGACGUUACCGACAGAAUAAGCACCGGCUAACUCUGUGCCAGCCGCCGCAGUAACAC
rnacentral:rRNA from 1 species